CCUGGCGGCCGUAGCGCGGUGGUCCCACCUGACCCCAUGCCGAACUCAGAAGUGAAACGCCGUAGCGCCGGAAUGAAAGGCCCAGUCGAAAGACUGGGCCUUUUGUUUUUGUCUGUU
rnacentral:rRNA from 1 species